GCUCGAUAGCUAUGUAUAACGGCAUGGUGCUACAUACAGUCUGGACUUUCUUCCUUCUCAACGAUCUUUUUAGCUGACUAUUUACUGACAAUGAGGGAGUGAGAAUUCUAUCCUGGUUGAGUUCAGAACCUCCUAGUAAGAAAUAAAAAUAGUUCAUUGUUUUUUAUUUAGCGAUUCGGAUACAAGGAAGAAGGCCAGAUUAGGCCAGAAGGUGCAUGGGGAGCAGUGGUUUCAUAUAUUCCCUUGUGAUUUGGGCAUUUGGUGAGAUCCGGUGUGCAGCACCUCUUUUUUUUUGCUAGCCUAUCCUUUCAUUUUGUUUAUUCAAUUUUUGGUUCAGCAAUCAUGAGUUAGUUAAUUUAAUUCAUUUCACUGCAUCUCUGAGUAUGUGAGUACAUUGAUAAUGCAAACCAGUGAUCUCCUGAUUAACAGGAGCACCACUGGAGCAACAUCGCAAGGUGGGUGUUUCGCCGACCAGCAGUGCCCACUGCCCAGGACAUGCCGCUGGCCGCAUGAUCUCUUCUGCCAUCAUGCCACGGUCAAGUAUAAGUUCUCUUUUUGUCAGUUUUUUCUGCAUUUCAGAUGAAGUAUCAGCAAUAGCUGAAGGCCAUAUGAAGCAGGUCGACUAGCUGAUGACGACAAGGAUCAGUAGAACCAGAGGAUGACGCUUGACAUCAACAGCUGGUCUGGACAAGGAAAUGGGCCUUCAUAGGGACAAGGAGCUUUCUCUGUAUCUCUCAUUUUUAUGACGACAUAUGGUUGUGACUGGCGUAAAACUAUUGUAUUUAGGAUGCUCACGAAUAAGAUAAACCGGUUGUAGCCAAGUUAUUAUACUUACAUUUCCAAUUACUAGUUUAUGCCAGCACGAAAA